rnacentral:lncRNA from 1 species
UCCCCAUGCUCUUGUUGGAAAGAAGGAGCUCCCACUUAUGGGGCAUCUAGAGUACCUUUCAAAGGUGGGCUCCUUGACCCUCACAAUAACCCAAUAAGUGGAUAUUAUGAGCCCCAUUUCACAGAGAAAUGGGAGAAAACAGAGGCUCAGAGAGGUCAAGAAAUUUGUUGAAGCCACAUUGCCAAGAAGUGAGAGAGUUGAAAUUAAUGCCCAGAUUUGUUUGAUUCCAAAGUUCUGGAGCCUUUGGGAUUCCCCAAACCCUGAGUGAGAAAGUUCACCUUCCAGGACUUUCCGUGCUCCUCUGGCAAGGACAACAUGGGCAAAGUGCUAAGAUUUUGGACUACGAGGUUUGGCGCUGCCAGUGCUCUCAGGACAGGAAGGGCACAGGUCUUGAACCCUGAAGAUGAAGAGAGAUGGAGCAGGUGCUAAUCACCAGGCCUCUUCCAGAGCGGCUGGAGGUAAGUGCCGGGCUCCAGGCUCCAAUCUCCACCCAGAUGGAGAAAGGCCCAGAUUUCAUGGCUAUCCCUGAGGAAUCUGGGUCAGUUCUCUGAUUUGGCCACCAGGGGUCAUUUUACCCCUGUAAAUCACCAUCUGGAGCACUUGGCAUAAAGGCACACACAAAAGGCUACCCUGGACUAAAACAGACACAAACGGAGAACCCUGACACACACACACACACACACACACACACCUCUCUCUCUCUCUCUCUCACACACACACACACACACAUUCUCUCACACACACAGAGUGCGUGCACACACAGAUAAAAAUACAGUAUUGAGACAUAGGGACAGAAAUGCUAUAGGACGCACACAGGGCAACAGCUCCUUCAGUAAUGCCAGGGUCUGAAGAUGUCCACAAGUGCCAACUCUGCAGCCCCUCCGAGCCCCCAACUUGGGUGAAGAGGGAAGGAAUAGCCGGGCACAAUGGCUCAUGCCUGUAAUCCCAGCACUUUGGGACGCAGGCAGAUUCACCUGAGGUCAGGAGUUCGAGACCAGUCUGGCCAACAUAGUGAAACCCUAUCACUACUAAAAAUACAAAAAAUUAGCCGGGUGUGGUGGUGUGCACCUGUAAUCCCAGCUACUUGGGAGGCUGAGGCAGGAGAAUCCUAUGAACCCGGGAGGCAGAGGUUGCAGUGUGCUGAGAUCGCGCCAUUGCACUCCAGCCCAGGUGACAGUGCGAGACCCUGUCUCAACAAAAAAAAAAAAAGAGGGAAGGACUAGUAGGUGGCCCAUUUCCCUUGCUUCCAGCGUGCUGAGAAUGGACAGCCUAUUCCUGUCCUCCCAUCUCACUCUUAACUUCCCCAUAAACUUUUCUCUCCUGGCUGUGGCACAGUUCCCUUUUCCCUCCCCCAGAGAAGCCCCAUCCCCUCUGCCUGAGUGUAUGACUAGUUCCACCCCCCAGUCUCCAUCCCUGCCCCAGGGCUGCUGCUCUGAUAUGCCCAGGGUAGUGUUCCAUUUUAUGUACUACUCCUAGGGCCG